AGGCUAAAACAAACAACUACAAAACACUAUAAUAAAACCAAUUUUAAAAGAUAGAUUACCUAGAUUAUCUUAAAGUUUUAAUCUUAUAUAUACUCAAAGAUAUAGAAAUAAUAGAUAUUAAGAAAAUAAUAUUAGAAGAAGUAAUAAACUAUGAAAUUGAAACUGCAAAUUGUCUAGAACAGUUAUACGAAGAAAUUUACCC
rnacentral:lncRNA from 1 species